rnacentral:rRNA from 1 species
AGCUCCAAUAGCGUAUAUUAAAGUUGCUGCAGUUAAAAAGCUCGUAGUUGCAUUUCCGAGGCAAGGGAUUAGUCCGACCUUUGGUGGGUAUUUAAUCCUCUUGCCUCGUCCUUGAGUGGUGCUUCUUGGUAUUAAGUUAUCGAGGAGAUAGCCGCUCAUCGUUUACUGUGAGAAAAUUAGAGUGUUCAAAGCAGGCUUAUGCCGUUGAAUAUAUUAGCAUGGAAUAAUAAGAUAGGACCUUGGUACUAUUUUGUUGGUUUGAGAACCAAGGUAAUGAUUAAUAGGGACAGUUGGGGGUAUUCGUAUUCAGUUGUCAGAGGUGAAAUUCUUAGAUUUACGGAAGACGAACUACUGCGAAAGCAUUUACCAAGGAUGUUUUCA